rnacentral:misc_RNA from 1 species
AGCAAAUUGGACCGAAAACCCUUGGCUAGCAAAGAUGGGUUUGCUUAUUUAUAUUUAAAUAUUUAAUCGUACAAUGGCUUAAUAAUAUAUAAAUAAAAGUAAUAAGUAAUCAUUCUAAUUUGAAUAUUAUGAGAUGAUAUAUCAUAAAGCCCUUCAGGCUUUUUUAGAUUUGAUCACGCCCAACCAAAAUUAUCACCUCAUAAUACUCAAAGAAUGAUUCCUUAUAAUAUAAUAGUUAUAGCCUUAGUUAUAGUUGUAAAAAAAUUGAAAAUGUGGGAUUUUUUUACCUUUAAAUUUUUAAAUUGCGACAUUAUUUUUAUUAACAUACCGGAUGUAUCAUUUGUAAAAUCUUGUACAUAUGCAUAAAACAAUGUAUGUUUUUUCCUAAGAAUAGAAUUUUUGUUCUCUG